AGAGUUUGAUCCUGGCUCAGAGUGAUCGCUGGCGGCGUGCUUAACACAUGCAAGUCGAGCGAAUUUCAGCAGCUUAUCGCUGGAGUUAGCGGCAGACGGGUGAGUAAUGUUUAGGUAAUCUUCCCUCAUGUGGGAAACAACCUGUCGAAAGACGGGCUAAUGUCCCAUGAGACCACAGAAUCGCAUGAUUCAGAGGUCAAAGCUCCGCAAGGGGCGCAAGAGGAGGAACCUAAAACCUAUCAGGUAGUUGGUGAGGUAACGGCUCACCAAGCCUACGACGGGUAGCCGGCCUGAAAGGGUGAACGGCCACACUGGCACUGAGACACGGGCCAGACUCCUACGGGAGGCAGCAGUGGGGAAUUUUGGACAAUGGGGGCAACCCUGAUCCAGCGACGCCGCGUGAAGGAUGAAGGCCUUCGGGUCGUAAACUUCUUUUAGAGGGGAUGAAUGGACUGGUGAAUGGCCAGUCGUGACAGUACUCUCGGAAUAAGCCACGGCUAACUACGUGCCAGCAGCCGCGGUAAUACGUAGGUGGCAAGCGAUACUCGGAAUCACUAGGCGUAAAGCGCAGGUAGGCGGUUGGAUAAGUUUUUUGUGAAAGCUCCCGGCUUAACUGGGAGAGGCCAAGAAAUACUGUCUGACUCGAGUGUGGUAGGGGAAACUGGAAUUCCUGGUAUAGCGGUGAAAUGCGUAGAUAUCAGGAGGAAUACCUAUGGCGAAAGCAAGUUUCUGGGCCAUCACUGACGCUGAGCUGCGAAAGCUAGGGGAGCAAACAGGAUUAGAUACCCUGGUAGUCCUAGCCCUAAACGAUGUUCAUUAGAUGUGGGAGGUAUCGACCCCUUCCGCGUCGGCGCUAACGCAUUAAAUGAACCGCCUGGGGAGUACGGCCGCAAGGUUGAAACUCAAAGGAAUUGACGGGGGCCCGCACAAGCGGUGGAGCAUGUGGUUCAAUUCGACGCAACGCGAAGAACCUUACCUGGGCUUGAACUGUAGAUGACAUUCGGCGAAAGCCGGCUUCCGCAAGGACAUCUGCAGAGGUGCUGCAUGGCUGUCGUCAGCUCGUGUCGUGAGAUGUUGGGUUAAGUCCCGCAACGGGCGCAACCCUCGUCCUCUGUUGCCAUCAGGUUAUGCUGGGCACUCUGAGGAGACUGCCGGUGAUAAACCGGAGGAAGGUGGGGAUGACGUCAAGUCAGCAUGGCCUUUAUGUCCAGGGCUACACACGUGCUACAAUGGCCGAUACAAAGCGUCGCGAUCCCGCGAGGGGGAGCUAACCGCAGAAAGUCGGUCUCAGUUCGGAUUGUAGGCUGCAACUCGCCUGCAUGAAGUUGGAAUCGCUAGUAAUCGCGGAUCAGCAUGCCGCGGUGAAUACGUUCCCGGGCCUUGUAUACACCGCCCGUCACAUCACGAAAGCUGGCUGUACUAGAAGUAGCUGCGCCAACCCGCAAGGGAGGCAGGCUCCUAAGGUAUGGUUAGUGAUUGGGGUGAAGUCGUAACAAGGUA
rnacentral:rRNA from 1 species